CUCAUCAAAAUAAUUUUUAACACACCAUGUACAAGUUUCUUAAAGGAAAUCUCAAUAAUACUGAAUCUCUGGGUUCCAUCAAACAAGGGUACACAUUAGUUAAAUGAUAAAAAAUGUAUAUUGUUCUUCCAAUUUUAAAUAUACCAAUUAUUUUUAUACUUGCCAGGAAGUAUUAAAAAUAAGAACCAGAAAACAUUUUCUGGAAGAGAUUGGAUUAUCGUAGGGUUUGGAACUGUGUCAUCUGUGUUGCACCCACUCAGUCACCUCUGUCACACAUGAUAUGUAAUUGAGUAGGCAUGGCUAUGUACCAAUGAAACUUAUAAAACCAGGUAGGGGACUGGAUUUGGCCCAUAGGUGAUGGUCUUAACACACAGAUCCAAGAAGCUCAAUAAACUUCCAUAAUUCUGAGAAGCACAAUAAACAUGAGGAAAUAUGAUAAAAUGCUUAUAUCCAAUAAUAAAGAAAAAAAUUUUAAAACCAAAAAGAGAAGAAAGACACAUUUUACAUAAGGAUGAAGAUGACAGCAAUUUCACAUCAAAACAAUGCAAACAAGAAAAAAAUGAAAAAUAUUGAAAGAAAACUAUCAAUCUCAAAUUUUAAAGAAAUAAAACCAUUAACCAAGUGCUAUAGUUUGAAUACUGGUAGUGUAUCCCAAAGGUCCUUGAUCUCAGGGGUGGCUUUACUGGGAAGUACUGUGGACUUUUAGGAGGUAGACUUUGUGGGAAGUCUUUAGGUCAUUGUAAGGAGCAUGCCCUUGAAGGGGGUGGUUGUAGGACCCUGUACCAUUCUCUCUCCUUCUCUCUGCUUCCUGGCUCAAGAUGUAAGCACUGUGCUCUGACAUGUGCUUCCUGUCAUUGUCAUCCAGUUGCUAUAGCAGUGCCUAAAGCUUUGGUGUACUCAAUCUUGGACCUGGAACCUUCAGAAUCAUAAACUAAAUACAUAUUUCAUCUUUAUAAUUUCCUCAGGUAUUAUAUUAUAUUAUAUUAUUAUAGUAACACAAAGUUAAUAGACCAAAUAAAAACAACUUCAAACAUGAAUUGAAGGAAGGAUUUUUCAUACAUACAAAAGCUGAGUUAAGGGGCUGGGGUUAUCACUCAGUGGUAGAGCGUUUGCCCAGCAUAUGUGAGUCACUGGGUUCGAUCCUCAGCACCACAUGAAAAUAAAUAAAGUAUUGUGUCCAUCUACAACUAAAAAUAACUAACAAGCAAAAAGCUGAGUUAUUGUCAAUAGAUUUGCUCUACAAGAAAUGUUAAAAGCAAGUCUUCAGACAGAAAGAAAAUCAUAACAGAUAAUAUGAUUCUACACAAAAGACAGAAAAUCACUGAAAAUGAUAAUUGCCUGGGUAAGAUAAGAGAUUUUUCUAUUUAAAUUUUUAAAAAUAAUGAUCGUUUAAGCAAGAUAUGAAUAAUAUCAUAAAGAACUUAUAAAAAUAAGUAAAAUUAACAUGUAUGUGAAGAAUAUUCCAAAACUUAGGAGGAAAGAGAUGAAAAUAUACUAUUUUUUAAUAAUAUAUGUGAAGUAGUAUAUCACUUCAAAGUAAAUUAUAACCUAAUAACAAAUAUUAUACAUUCAAAUGGAACUUCUAAAAUAAGAAAACAAAUAUUUAUAACAAAUAAGUGAACAAAGAAAAUAAAAUAGGACUCAUGAAAAUUAAUUAAUCCAGAAGAAGACAGGAAAAG
rnacentral:lncRNA from 1 species